CAAAGAUUAAGCCAUGCAUGUCUAAGUAUAAGCGAACUUAUACAGUGAAACUGCGGAUGGCUCAUUAAAACAGUUUGAAUUUAUUUGAUGAAUGUAUGAGAAUACUAUUUGGAUAACCGCAGUAAUUCUAGAGCUAAUACAUGCAACGACGCCCGACCGUUUCACUACGGAAGGGCUGUAUUUAUUGGAUACCAAAACCAUCCUUCCCUCGGGAAGUUUUGUUUGAUGAUUCACAAUAACUGAUCGGAUCCCCACUGUGGUGGCGACAGGUCAUUCAACAUUCUGCCCUAUCAGCUUUCGAUGGUUGUGUAGUGGACAACCAUGGCCAUAACGGGUAACGGAGAAUCAGGGUUCGAUUCCGGAGAAGGAGCUUGAGAAUUGGCUACUACAUCUAAGGAAGGCAGCAGGCGCGCAAAUUACCCAAUCCCGAUUCGGGGGGGUAGUGACAAAAAAUAACAAUACCGGGCCUCUUUGGGCUUGGUAAUUGGAAUGAGGGAGAGUUAAACGGACCAUCGAGUAUCCAUUGGAGGGCAAGUCUGGUGCCAGCAGCUGCGGUAAUACCAGCUCCAAUAGCGUAUAUUAAGUUGUUGCAGUUAAAAAGCUCGUAGUUGGACUUGUGUGCGCUGUCCGCGGGUGGCCUGCGCCCAAAAGGGCGUUUCGGUUCGGCCCCGGUGGCGCCUUGAAAUCUGCAGCUGGGGGGACGUUGGCCUUAACUGGUCGGCGACCGCACGCCGGCUGCUCGGUUACUGUGAGAAAAUUAGAGUGUUCAAGGCAGGCAUUGGGUGCAAUUGAAUACAUUAGCAUGGAAUAAUAAAAUAUGGCUCCUGCCGUAUCUUGUUGGUUUUGACUGGUGGGAGUAAUGAUUGAUAGGGACGGUUGGGGGUGCUAGUAUUGAGCGGCCAGAGGUGAAAUUCAUGGAUUCGCUCAAGACUAACUUAUGCGAAAGCAUUCACCAAGGACGUCCUCUUUAAUCAAGAACGAAAGUUGGGGGAUCGAAGACGAUCAGAUACCGUCGUAGUCUCAACCAUAUCUAUGUCGACUUGGGAUCGGCGGUAGUUUUUUCAUUAAGACACUGUCGGGACCACGGGAGAAAUCAAAGUGUCUGGACUCUGGGGGAAGUAUGGUCGCAAGGCUGAAACUUGAAGGAAUUGACGGAAGGGCACCACCAGGAGUGGAGCCUGCGGCUUAAUUUGACCCAACACGGGGAAACUUACCAGGUCCAGAGAUGUAGAGGAUUGACAGAUUGAAGCUCUUUCUUGAUCGCUUCGGUGGUGGUGCAUGGCCGUUCUUAGUUGGUGGAGUGAUUUGUCUGGUUAAUUCCGUUAACGAACGAGACCUCAGCCUGCUAGUGUAGUCGGCUGGAUUGC
rnacentral:rRNA from 1 species